AAUCAACGCUGGCGGCGUGCCUAACACAUGCAAGUCGCACGAGAAAGGGGAGCAAUCCCUGAGUAAAGUGGCGCACGGGUGAGUAACACGUGAAUCAUCUACCUCCGAGUGGGGAAUAACUGAGAGAAAUCUUAGCUAAUACCGCAUAACACUUACGAGUCAAAGCAGCAAUGCGCUUGGAGAGGAGUUCGCGGCCGAUUAGUUAGUUGGCGGGGUAAGU
rnacentral:rRNA from 1 species